rnacentral:rRNA from 1 species
UGGGGAAUAUUGCACAAUGGACGGAAGUCUGAUGCAGCAACGCCGCGUGCGGGAUGACGGCCUUCGGGUUGUAAACCGCUUUUUCUCAUGACGAAGUUUUUUGACGGUAGUGGGGGAAGAAGCACCGGCUAACUACGUCCCAGCAGCCGCGGUGAUACGUAGGGUGCGGGCGUUGUCCGGAAUUAUUGGGCGUAAAGAGCUUGUAGGCGGUUUGUCGCGUCGAUAGUGCAAACUCAGUGCUUAACGCUGAGCCGGCUGUUGAUACGGGCAGACUAGAGGAAGGUAGGGGAGAAUGGAAUUCCCGGUGGAGCGGUAGAAUGCGCAGAUAUCGGGAGGAACACCGGUGGCGAAGGCGGUUCUCUGGGCCUUUCCUGACGCUGAGGAGCGAAAGCGUGGGGAGCGAACAGG